rnacentral:rRNA from 1 species
GACGAACGCUGGCGGCGUGCUUAACACAUGCAAGUCGAACGGAAAGGCCCUGCUUUUGUGGGGUGCGCGAGUGGCGAACGGGGGAGUAACACGUGAGUAAACUGCCCUUGACUGUGGGAUACCAUCAGGAAAAUGGGGCUAAUACCGGAUAGGAGCUCCUGCUGCAUGGGGGGGGUUGGAGAGUUUCGGCGGUUGGGGAUGGACUCGCGGCCUAUCAGCUUGUUGGUGGGGUAGUGGCUUAACAAGGCUUUGACGGGUAGCCGGCCUGGGAGGGUGACCGGCCACAUUGGGACUGAGAUACGGCCCAGAGUCCUACGGGAGGCAGCAGUGGGGAAUAGUGCACAAUGGGCGGAAGCCUGAUGCAGCAACGCCGCGUGCGGGAUGACGGCCUUCGGGUUGUAAACCGCUUUCGCCUGUGACGAAGCGUGAGUGACGGUAAUGGGUAAAGAAGCACCGGCUAACUACGUG